rnacentral:rRNA from 1 species
CGGGUGAGUAACGCGUGAGGAACCUGCCUCAAAGAGGGGGACAACAGUUGGAAACGACUGCUAAUACCGCAUAAGCCCACGGCUCGGCAUCGAGCAGAGGGAAAAGGAGCAAUCCGCUUUGAGAUGGCCUCGCGCCCGAUUAGCUAGUUGGUGAGGUAACGGCCCACCAAGGCGACGAUCGGUAGCCGGACUGAGAGGUUGAACGGCCACAUUGGGACUGAGACACGGCCCAG